UACAGAGGGGGGCAAGCGUUGUUCGGAUUCAUUGGGCGUAAAGGGUGCGUAGGCGGUUCGUUAAGACAGGUGUGAAAUCUCGGGGCUUAACUCCGAAACUGCAUUUGAUACUGGCGUGCUUGAGGACUGGAGAGGAGACUGGAAUUCAUGGUGUAGCAGUGAAAUGCGUAGAGAUCAUGAGGAAGACCAGUGGCGAAGGCGGGUCUCUGGACAGUUCCUGACACUGAGGCACGAAGGCCAGGGGAGCAAACGGG
rnacentral:rRNA from 1 species